CACCUGAUAGCAUAUGGUGUGCACCUGCCUUUCUUGAGUGUUCCCUCAAGGUAUGCAGGCAGGAGGCCCCCGUUCGAUUCGGGGUCGGGUGA